GAGGGUAUAGCUCAGUGGUAGAGCUCAUACCUAGCAUGCACGAGGUCCUGGGUUCAAUCCCCAGUACUUCCA
rnacentral:tRNA from 1 species